rfam:Mus musculus chromosome 7, GRC primary reference assembly.
UGAUCAGUCAGGCUUCUGGCUAUAUUCCAGGACAUACCUGGUCCUGGGUAUAACCAAAGCCCGACUGUAUG